rnacentral:lncRNA from 1 species
UUGAUUUUCUUUUUUUUAAAGCGGGACAUUCUCACUACUUUUUUCACCUGAAGAUUGAAAAGGAAACUCAUUUCAGUUUGUAACAUUGCACUGACUGUUCCAGACACAAAAUGAAUCAAGUCUCCUGUUGGAUUAUGUGGUUAGCAUUUCUUCUCUUCUCUGAUAUAGAAAUUUAGAUCUGUAAGGACCAUCAGUGUGGUGAAGGUCACAUGUACAUCAGAAUUGGAAUUGGAGUCAUGUCAAGAUGUUCUCACUGGCAAAGACAGGAGGAGGUUAAAAUAGCUCCUUGUAGGGCAGUAACCUCGGGAGAAAAAGAACUAAUAGAAAAUAAAUGGCGAGUAUUUUUUUUGAAUCAUUUGUAUGAUAAGCUUAUAAUGUACUUGUCUCAAUGCAGAAAGCACAAGGAAAAAAUAAAUAUGUCCUCAUCACAUUGGUAGACAAAGCACUAAGCACGUAGGUUGUCAGAAAUUCGAUAUCCCUUUCUCUUUUCUAUAUCCUCUACCAAACAGAAAGUUCCACAUACAUCUGAGACUUCAGUGUCUAUGUGACUUGAGUACAAUUUCCUUUUUCAUCUUUGUUUUUCCUUUACUUACUCGUUUCCCUUUAUUCUUACCUGAGAUAUAGAGAAUAAAAAAUAACACUAUAGAAUCAACCUUUUUUUCUAGGUAAUUUAGAAUAAAUUUUCCAGAACAUAAAAAGGAUAAUGAUGGCAUUAUGUAAAUUUGAGACCAAAAUUUUCUGAAUUAAAUUAUUUUUACAUAGAUAAUGGUUCACUUCUGAUUAGGAACAUUAAAUAAAAAGUAAUCUUAACAAUAUGACAAUACAACUUAGCCUUCUUGCAUUAUCUUUUUUAGCCUAAAUAUUUAAUUAUUAUAAUUUGCACAACAUCGAAAUUAUAGUGCAAUUCUUUUCUUUACAAAAUAAUCACAAUAAAGUAUUUUAAUCAAGCAACUGAGCACAUACAAUUAUUAUUCUAUGUCCAUAAAAUUUUUUUGCAGAAAACAUUUAUAUAAGAAUUUCAGUAGUCAAACAUUGAGUAGCAGGAAAAUACUAUUAAAUUUUAAAAACCAAACAAGCAUUGGAAACAGAAAAAUGGAUACGAAGAGAAGCAAGUAUUCUCCUGUAUUUAUAAUUGUGGUACUUUACAAUAUAUGUAAUAUAUCUUUAGAAAGAUUAAUUGUCUUUUAUUCUCACAGAAAUUCUAUGAGCCAGGCAGAGGAACUGUUUUUGUUCCCAUUUUACUUCUGUAAAAACUGAGUCUCAAAAUAACUGCUCCCCAGAAGUAUAGAAUGAUUAAAGGUCAGAAACAGAGCCUGCAUAUUUUCAUAUUUGUUACACUUUUUUAGCUAUUGUUGUCCAAGAGUACUCUUACUUUUGAGAUACUUUCUUUAUUUCACUGUUCAGAAUUUUUAUAUUUGUAUGAUUUAACAAAAUAAUUGGUAAAUUUCAUUUUUGGGGAUUAAAAAUUAGGUUGUGGAAGCUACAUUAGGUUGUGGAAGUUGUGCCCCAUCUGAGACAAAUCUUGGAUUAAUCAGUGAUUGAUUAAAUUAUUGAAAGUUUAGUUAUUCAAAGAAAUUGGCAUAGAAGUACAUUAAGCUAAGCUUUAUCUGGUAAGAUGGAGAACUAACAUGAUGUGGGCUUCUUUCUGUGACCACAACCCUGGAAAUGACACAGAAAUCAGCAUCUAAUACUAAAAGAUGUGAGAAACCUUUGCAGUUACAAACUACAGUAAAGUCUGCGAGUAGAGAAAAAAAUGACAGCAAAGAGCAGAAAACUGAGAUGUAAGGAAACCAGAAUAUGCUGGGGCGGAAGUUUUUAGUGGUCAUCAUUCCUUUUCAUUGCAUUCCUGUAUUUUUUUCUGCUCUUUCAAUAGUUAGAGUACCCACAGUGUGCAAGGCACUCUUCUAAAUACUGAGAAUACACUACAGAGCCAGAAAGACAAAACUUUGACCAAAUGGAGCUCCCAUUCUAGCAAAACUAGAGUUGAAAAGAGACCACUGCUAACUCCUUUAAAGCCAUUUUGGAGUCGGCCAGGCAGAAUAUGACUCAACCUAGCUUGGAAAAUGAGGAAAUAGUGACAAAUGCAGAAAGACCAUCUGAACCCUAGGCAUUCUCCUCUAACCCAGCUACUCCAUACAAUGAGUGUUAGGAUGGUGAUUAAAACUGAGGGAGACCAGUCUUGGUAAACAGCACCACCCAGGACACGUGAAUACACCAACUUUUAUGGAGGAGGAAGGCAAACAAAGGGUGGCAGAAUCCAGUUAUUUCCUAAGGAGUCCUUCAUUCUAAACACUUCUGGUGGGUCAAUCUUGAGCCUGAUUUUAGUGCCAUGUAUUCUUAAUCAGCAUAAUAAAUCUUACUAGGAAAAAAUAGGCCUCAAAGGAAUUCAAUGACUCUAAAAUAAAAUACAUGUAUAUCAAAGACAACCAGAUUUACAAAAAUUAACAAUAGUUUAAAAUAUGUGACCAUAUGUGGUGGUUUACAUCUGUAAUCCCAGCACUUUGGGAGUCCAAGACAGGAGCAUUGCUUGA